GAUGAAGAACGUAGCGAAAUGCGAUAACUAAUGUGAAUUGCAGAAUUCAGUGAAUCAUCGAGUCUUUGAACGCACAUUGCGCCCCCUGGUAUUCCGGGGGGCAUGCCUGUCCGAGCGUCAUUGCUGCCCUCAAGCACGGCUUGUGUGUUGGGCUCCGUCCCCCCGGGGACGGGCCCGAAAGGCAGCGGCGGCACCGAGUCCGGUCCUCGAGCGUAUGGGGCUUUGUCACCCGCUCUGUAUGCCCGGCCGGCGCCAGCCGACAACCCAUCAUCCUUUUCAGGUUGACCUCGGAUCAGGUAGGGAUACCCGCUGAACUUAAGCAUAUCAAUAAGCGGAGA
rnacentral:misc_RNA from 1 species